rnacentral:lncRNA from 1 species
AGGGAUAAUUUAUCAGACCCUUAGAAGACUAUCGAGAGUGCAUGCCACAGGCACAAGCUCGUCGUCGACAUAUAAUAUCUCUUAUACAAAGAUGAGAAGUGCUAGAUGCUGCAGGUACAAGAUCGUCAUAGGCACACAAAGCCACUCAUGAGAGCUAACUUACCAUAUCCUCGAGAAGAUCUUGAUGAUUUCGAAGUGGGGCUAACUUACAAGACCCCUACAGAGCCUGAGUCAUUUGAAAAGCGGAGGGAGAUCCUUAGAAAAUCUUCAGAGGGAUAACUAAUCAGAUCCUCAAAAAGCUGUCGAGAGUGCAAGAUGCCGCAGGCACAAGCUCACCGCUGGCACACACUGCCUCUCGUAUGAAGAUGACAAGAGCUAGAUGUCGUAGGCAC